rnacentral:rRNA from 1 species
GGUCAGUAGGUUGGUCGUGCCACCGGUACGUACUGGUCUCACUGAUUCCUCCUUCCUGAAGAACCGUAAUGCCAUUAAUUUGGUGUUGCGGGGAAACAGGACUGUUACUUUGAAAAAAUUAGAGUGUUUAAAGCAAGCUAACGCUUGAAUACAUUAGCAUGGAAUAAUGAAAUAGGACGAUCGAUCCUAUUUUGUUGGUUUCUAGGAUUGACGUA